rnacentral:miRNA from 2 species
ACGGGUCAGGAGCUUGGGAGAC